CAAUAGCGUAUAUUAAAGUUGUUGCAGUUAAAAAGCUCGUAGUUGAAUUUCUGGUGGGCGCGCCGGUCUUCCAAGUGUUGUACUGGGCGCAGUCCGCCAUCCUUGUGGAGAGGGCUCGCAUUGAGUUGCGUGUCGGAUCUGCAUCAUUUACUGUGAAAAAAUUAGAGUGUUUAAAGCAGGCUGUCGCUUGAAUACAUUAGCAUGGAAUAAUAAGAUAGGACUUCGGUCUAUUUUGUUGGCUGCGAACCGAGGUAAUGAUUAAUAGGGAUAGUUGGGGGUAUUCAUAUUUAAUUGUCAGAGGUGAAAUUCUUGGAUUUAUGAAAGAUGAACAACUGCGAAAGCAUUUACCAAGGAUGUUUUCAUUAA
rnacentral:rRNA from 1 species